rnacentral:tRNA from 1 species
GCCUGGCUGGCUCAGUCAGUAGAGCAUGUGACUCUUAAUCUUGGGGUCAUGAGUUAAACGCCCAUGUUGGGCA